rnacentral:lncRNA from 1 species
AGUACAGGAUUUUCUAGGCCUCAAGCGUGUUGUGACUGAAAAACAUUUCUAUUUCAACAAAACCAAGGGGUUCCCUUGUUUAAAGAAGCCAGAAGACAGCAGUGCCCCAAGAUGCUUAGGCAAGAGCAAAGGUCGGACUCAUCCUCGCAUCGACCCAGAUGUGAUACACAGACUGCAGAAAUUCUACAAACCCUUCAACAUGAUGUUUUACCAAAUGACUGGUCAAGACUUCCAGUGGGAACGGGAAGAGGGUGACAAAUGAAGUUAGAGAAGAUGAGGGAAGGCUAGUGAAUAGCUAAAGAGGCUCCUUACCUGAGUCCUGAAUCCCCUCAGCGGGGUCUUGCCUCACUGGAAUGCCAAGUAGAUCCCCCCCUUUGUCCAGUCAGGAACACUUCUAACACUGUAGGCUUGAACAAAGGGAUGGAUCCCAUGGCAUCCUUGUGGAGCCACUGGGUUUGUCUGGGCAGCAGCAUCUGGUUGACCAGAUGGCCACCAGGAGCCACUGCUAAUUCUUGUCUUCUGCUAAUUAAUAGAGUCUAAAGACAGGAUAAAGAGCUGUCAAGGUCAGAGACAGUGCCAGGAAUGUUUCUUUAAGUGAUAAAAAAAAAAAAAAAAAAGGAAGGUCUACUUUGGCCACUUCAGAAACCUGAGUCCUAGCCCUGUAUCUGGCACAGCCCUCUGCUGUACAAAUCUUUGCUUUGGCAUCUCUCCAGAAUGCUACUUGUGGCUGAGUGCUCCAGGACUCCUAGGGAGCCAGGUCCUUUCUCUAAAGUGUCUCUAGCCUUCUCCUUCCAGGUCUCACUCCACGACCCUUUGACUUCCUCCCUCCUUACCUUAUGAAGGCAGAGGCAUGCACGUUCCUCACCAGAAAAAAAAACAACAAACAAACAAAAAACUGACACCCUUGGAAAAGGCAUUCUUUCCAAGAGCCCUCUAAGGAGGGUCCCGGGCUGUGGUGAAGCUUAGCAUAGGCCCUCAUAAUAGAAUCAGGCCUACAUGGCUGUUCUUGGAGCUGUGUGAGUGAUUGCCUUUGAGUUCCAAGCCCUGGUUGGUAAAGAUAAAUGUUAUUUCUGGGGGUGAAAAAAGAAGGCCAGAUCUUGGGGUGGGAGGUCUCCAUACCUGAAGACCCUUCCCACCAUGGUUCCAAGGAAUGCUUUCGGGGUAGGCUCUGUCCCUGAGGUUCCCCAGAGGGAUAAGGACCAGAUAGUUGGCAUGUCUUCCAUUCUAAGUAAUCCUGAGCAACACAGCAAACGGGAUCAGUCAACAUUCUUCUGUUUGCCCAUCGAUUCCCCCUCAUGGUCAUCUGAUGUUUCAUUUACUCUACUCAGACAUGGCACACUGGGGCAGUGACAGAAUGCCAACUCCAUCUAUGGCAGGUCGUCAGAUCCAAUCUAUGGAUACAGGAAAGGGCAAGGGCUGUCUGCAGACACCCCCUUCAAGGGCUGCUGAACGAAGUGUCUCUUCCCAUUACUUUGAUUUGAUUAAAAUGCCGCAUUUGACGUCAAGCACUUGGUCACAGAUCUCCCAAACCAGGAACUGUUCUAAUAAAUUUGGAAAUGUGUAUGAGUGGUGGGGGGGAGCUAAGUCUGUUCACCUGUUAUUAAACUCAUUUCUUCCCGCUAAAUGAAAACUGUGUUGUUAUAAAGCUUAAUGCAACCUGAU